UGACCUUGCGCCAAGGGCACACUUAAAUUUCAUAACACUAUUAGUCUCAUAACAGCGUACAGCACACGCUAGAGAUAAUGCAUAACUAUGACUCUAAACAUACAGAAUUAUCAAAACACUAACAGAGAUAUUUACCUUAACAUUUUGUUGAAAUAAUUCUAUCAGGCCUAAACGAUGAAGAAACGGGAACGUUUUCAUUCCCAUCUUCGGAUCCUUUAACACUGGCUUUAAAGAGGGGGUUGGGUUGCAACGCCUAAAAGGAAGAAAACGACAAUAACCAUUUUUCUGCCGUCGUUUUUCGACAUAAUUCACCAUUUAACACACCUAUCUGCGCAGUCUCCAACGAGUGGAGCUGCUGGAAAUCUUGAGGCACUUUUAGAUUUUGCAAUAUGCAAACAAUCCCUCUCGUUCUCUUCCUGAAGACAGAAUGACAAGAGAAAUUCACUCGCUCUUCACCAUUCAGAAGACAGAAAAAAAACUUUCCGAAGGACAUCAUUGUGGAAAAGAAAGGCUGCCGCCUGCGCCAUUUAUGGGCGAGGCUGCCGGGCGCUCUUUCAACCGAUUCUGCCUUUGUACGUGGCAAUCAUUGCAAACACUAACUGACUAGAUGUGAUCAGAGGGGCUUGCCGUUUAAAAAGCGAGGAUAUUGCACAAAACUCGCAGAGAUAUCUCGUGCGUAAAACGCGCCUUCGCCGCUGCUGCGCAAAGCGCUGGAAACCCUGUGGCACAAAAACACCCAGCAGUAAUCUGAGAGUUUGGACGCUUGCCACGGGUCCGGGAUAUGACUGCACCCACCUAGCCAUUUAAGGUCGGAGAAAGACUCUCAAACACUGUGUGGCAUUUCAAUCAGCAAGUACAAAGGGAAUAUCCAGUCCUCUGUGCUCUCUCUCGUCCCCCUUUCAAGAACAUUCGGUGCAGUCUAUUCGCCAGCCAUUCAGAGGAACAUUUGACGUGAUGCAUGCAGGAUUGCGCACUACUUAUGUUUCUCAGGUCUUCUGCUGAAUAUAUCACACUGUUGCAACACAUACCGGUAUGUGGUAUGCAGAUUUUGCACAAUUUAUGGCUAUGUAAUUUUGUAUAUCCUGCUUAUUCCACAUCUCUAUAAAUGUGUAGAGAACGGACAUAUUUAUAACCCAAGCAUCUCAUCAUUGGAAUUUGGUCAUUGCCUUUAGUGUUUGUUUUUUCUUUCUGUGCGUUUGGGGCGACGCCAGCUCCAAUUUCUCAACCAGAAUGAUAUUGCGCAAGGGAACGCACCUUCUUGUCUUUGGCUUUUUUUAAGAUUCACGCUUAUUGCAUGCACACCAAUACGAUUUUGUCUUUAUGCCAUAGUCUAAAGUAGGACUGAUGUCCGAAUAUUCCAGCAAAAAAGGACCGAAGACGUGACCACAUCGUUUCCUGCCGCGCAAGGCUGAAGUGGGUCAUGAGGCCAUUUUAUGGCACUCGUGUGUUUAAUUAGGAAAAUCCUCGUUAUCUUCGUAACCUGCGAACGCAAGCUGUUUCUAACGGCAGGAUAAGAAGGGCAGAAAAGAGAUGCAGAGAUCUCAGUCAACGCCAGUUUGAUCUUCUUUAGGUUUUUGUUGUUGUUACCCGAUAUGCAGACGUGUGCGUAAAGCUUUAUUUGUGCUGUGGACAGCUGGAGUGGAUCCUCGACACAUUUCGACACUAAACUUCGCCAUUAAUCAUAUAAGCUAUGCUAACUUUUGUUUAGAUCUCGAAAGGACGUUCUUGAAAAGUUCAUUUUUGAGGCACUCUUUUAUAUGUAGCCUACUAUUUUGUAUAUUUUUAAUGUCAUUUUUGUGGAGACUGGGGGUUUUUAAUGCCAGCAAUGUGUGUAAAUGCCCUGUAAUGUGCCUUUUUAAUGUCAAUCUAAUUUCCCACAAGAAAUCUGAGGAAAUACUCAACAGAUCCUGACGACGGUUCGCGAUUGCAUUUCUCCUCAUGUACAAUUAUUUUAGUAACAUUUUCACUUUUUUUUAAUUUUUUUUUUAGAAUUGAGAUAAAUAUGAUUGUAACAUUUAAUAAUAUGGUAAGUAUAUAUACACAGAGACGUUGCACUCAAUUAACUGCUUUUAUGGUUGCAAUAAAUAUAACUGUUCUUAAAUAUAAAUAUAGUUUUGUAUUUAUUAACAGAGGUUUCGUGUUUUUUUUUUUUCAUUUCUUCCUCAUCUUCGCCUAAUUAGCUGUUUCCUCGAAACGAAGCUGACGUUCUGUUGUAACAUUCAUUUACAUUUUCAUUACAUUUCGCUGUGUGUGAACUGAUUUAUAACCGAACCAAACAGGCCCAUAUCGCGGAAAACCAGCACCUUCGUUUAUCGCUGCUGCUGUCUGUCCUUCAUUAAUGGAUAUUAACGACCUUUUUAUUUAUGGACCGCAAAAAUCCAUAUAAAUUAUUUUACGAGAACACAGUGGGCUUUUAUAAUUACUUUUUGCAAUUUCUCUCCCUUGCCAUGUUUGGAAUCAGUAAAUGCUAACAGUUCUGUGACAGAGACAGUCAUGCCGCCUCCUAUCUGUGAGAAAUGAGAGGAGAAAGACAACAACCUUUUUCUAGCCUCAUACAGGAACAUAGUACUGCUCUCAUUGGCUGUGACGGUGUGGGGGAUGCAUUAACUGACACCUAUUGGCCAUUUGUAAAAUAAAUUAAGAAAGGUUUGCAAUAGGCCACUCGCAGGAGCACGGUUUUGCUUUGAACAACGGCCUUUAUCUGGUACUACAUGGUUUCGCAUAUAGUUUUGCUUUGUAUUAAAGACCAUACAUUUUCAAGAUGAAUGUCACUAUUAAGCAGAUUAAUUAAGUACCAUCUUAAAAGAUCCAGUCCUUGAUAUGUUCUUUUGUAUAGUGUUUAUUUU
rnacentral:lncRNA from 1 species